AGUGAACGCUGGCGGUAGGCCUAACACAUGCAAGUCGAACGGCAGCACAGUAAGAGCUUGCUCUUACGGGUGGCGAGUGGCGGACGGGUGAGGAAUACAUCGGAAUCUACUUUUUCGUGGGGGAUAGCGUAGGGAAACUUACGCUAAUACCGCAUACGACCUACUGGUGAAAGCAGGGGAUCUUCGGACCUUGCGCGAUUGAAUGAGCCGAUGUCGGAUUAGCUAGUUGGCGGGGUAAAGGCCCACCAAGGCGACGAUCCGUAGCUGGUCUGAGAGGAUGAUCAGCCACACUGGAACUGAGACACGGUCCAGACUCCUACGGGAGGCAGCAGUGGGGAAUAUUGGACAAUGGGCGCAAGCCUGAUCCAGCCAUACCGCGUGGGUGAAGAAGGCCUUCGGGUUGUAAAGCCCUUUUGUUGGGAAAGAAAAGCAGCAGGUUAAUACCCCGCUGUUCUGACGGUACCCAAAGAAUAAGCACCGGCUAACUUCGUG
rnacentral:rRNA from 1 species